rnacentral:lncRNA from 1 species
AAAUAAAUAACAUAUAAAUAAAUAAAUGGUGCCACCAUUGGUCAAGCUUUCCAAUUUAAAGUCCUAGAAGUAAGUCAUCUUUGACUUUGCUUUCUACCUCUCCGUCUCUCUUGGGGGUUCGGUUGAUUUCACGAGGAUGACUAAUCAUUCCAGUUUGCCCAGGACUGAAGGGUUCCCAGCAUUUUGGAUUUUCAGUGCUAAAAAAAGGAAAAUCCAAGACAAACUGGGACAAGCUGGUCACCUUAAUUCCACCCUUAAGUAUUUCUCAAAACCCUCCACUUCCCAUCAUCCCCACUGCUUUAACUCAGACAACCACAGUCUCAAGUUAGAAUUCCUCCAGUGGCUCUUGCUCUAGUCUCCUCGCUCCUAAACUUACCCUUUCCCAUACAUUCUCCAUAUUAUUGAUAAGAUGCUCUUUCAGGGAUGUAAAUCUGAUUAGCCCCAAAUUAAGUCAUCCAUUAGCUCCUACUGUCUCAAGGAUAACUUCUAACUGUUUAACACAAUCCACUGCAAAUCCUCCCGAAUGUGGCUUUUGCCUGCCAGUUCCAUUCCUUAAUUCCCUCCCCUUUUUCACAGACAUGUACACUCCAGUCAUAUUGAAUGACUCGUAAUUCCUUAAAUAUGCCAUGGGAUUAGAUGCUUCUGGGUCUUCCCAACAAAAUCUACCUAAAUUGCUCUCCUCAGUUUCUUUACCUGGUAACCACCUACUUUUUACUGAAAAUUCAGGUUCAGAGUCACCUCCUCAGGAAAGUUGUGUUUGAUUCCCCUUCUCUACUCCAGCUUGAAUUAAGUGUCACCCUUGCAUGCAUUGAGGUGCUCCCUGUGCUGGGAGCUAUCAUGGCACUUAUUGUGUUGUGUUAACUUAUGUAUCAAUCUCUCUAUUAGACCAUGGAAUUAUUGAAGGGAGGUGAUGUGAUUUCUUCUCGUUAAUUCCACUGCUUAGGAUAUGCCCAGAAUAAGAAAAAACAAGGAACUGGGAGUUUGAAGGUUUGAGAAACAGUCCUGGCUCUCCCCUUAAAAAGCCACUUAUUUCUCCUGGGCUGUGGCUUCCUGUCUUCCCUUUGCUUGGCUGCCACUUCUCAUUCUUCAGGUCUUAGCUCAUAUAUCACUGGCUCUGAGAAACCUUCCCUGAUCCCCCAAGACAAGGUUUGGUGAAAUCCCAUAGCACCCUAUUUUGCCCUCACCUGUUGUCUAUAAAUCUCAUUAGUGGAGGAAUUAUUUCUGUCUUGUUUAUCUCUGUCCCCAACAUCUGGCAUAUUACCUGGCACAUGGUAGAAAGUCAAUAAAUAAUGGUUGGAUUGAUAAACUUUAAACUACAGGGCAUCAAACAGAAGAAGAUGAUCUCUAAGAUUCCUUUAGGCUCUAACCUUCUGUCAAGCAGAGAUAAAGCCCUAUAUUUCCACAGUGACUAAGAAGCAUUAAAUUAUGAUUGCCACCUUUGGAAACUGCUCUAAAUGGCAUUGUGUCAUCCAUUGUUCAGGCAAACACACAUUCAGUCGAGUUUUUGCCAAAAGUAAGGGCAUGAUGAGAUAGAAAUUUGAGUAAAAAGGGUCAUCUAAAAGCAAUGCUAGAGAAAGAAGGAGCAUGAAAGGCAAACUAUUUGUUCCUCGUGAGUGCAGGAAAUGAUGCAUCCUCACGAAAGUACCUGACGCCAACCCACAGCAGGCCACAUAGAACCUUUUGGCAUCCCAGCUGGGGAAGACCAUGGAUGCUCUGAUACCUUGUCCAUUCUACCUACUCCCACCACCAGGGACAGGGAGAGCCCUUAGGUCAGCCCAGGGACAGAGCAAGCCCUCAGGCCCUGCUCUUACUGUUGCUAACCUGAAGAACCGUAACUGUCUUACUACACAGGCACCCCCAGCCUGAACCAAGCCCCCCUAGCUGUCUGAACUGCAAUUUCUUCACCUCUCACUUUCCAGAAAUCCCUGUAGCUCAUGCCUGUCCAGCCUACUUUCCUUCUGACAACACUCUGUAUUUUGGCAAGUGGAGGGAACUCAAUUAUAAUCACGGGCAGAGACGUCUUGUUGUUGCUAUUCCUACAUAAUUAUAUUCUUCCUCAGAGAGUCACUUCCUAUGUCCACUGAUUACCACCAUGGCUUCCUGCCCUUUAUCUCCACAAUACAGCUCUGUGUUAAUUUUGUAUCUAAAGAGAACAUGGAUCAUUCAUGAAGCCUUCGUCCAGUCGAUUUCUUAAAUUAUUUGCCAAACAUUAUCCUCAAACCAGAACCGAAAACUUUCAAAUGGCCAGACAAGAUUAAUGUAUUGCUAUUAGAAGGAUUACUUGGAUCCUAGAGAUUUCUCUUCUUCUUCCUAUUAUUGUCAUAGUGUUUCAAUUUCCUCUCCUCGUGAAGAAGCAGCUUAACAUAGAAAAAGCUUUAAAGUAAAAUACAAGUCUCAUGUCCAAAGGGCUGAUUUUAGAACUUAUGGGAGUUGGUGAAUGAUGAGAAAGAAGAAGGCUAUGAAGAAGAAUAGAAAUUAACUUCUGUGGCGACCCCCAUGUGAGCCCUGAGGAGAAAGCGGCUGCAGACAGAAAUGGAAGGCACUAUUUCACUGAAAGACUCAGACACUGGGGUGCAAAGAGUGUCACAAAAGAGGAAUAUGGAUAAUGCCCCCAAUUUCUUCUUACUCUUAUGGUCAGAGAGUCUUGAGGGUGGCAGCUCAUUGGUGGGUAGCUGGGGCAGAGAACUACACAGGCCUCAUUAAAGAAGGCUAGAGAAGGGUAAAGGAAAUAGCAAGUGCUAUGUGGUAGCCAGAAGGAUUUGUUAAUAAGCCCUGAUGAGAGAGUCUGUGGAAAUAACUGGGAGUUUUCAGGGUCUAGAGGUCCUUUUAAGAAAGGAGAGGCCAGGAUCCAGUGUAAUCAGAUUAUUGUAGUUAAUAUGACCCUGAAAUAAAGUGUGGUCUCUGUGAACAGAGGUUACACAUUGGAGGAUCUAACCCAAGGUUUUUGAUGAAUUCUGACAUGGUGCCCAUUUGCAGAAUAAAACAAUCACUAUUCAUAGAAUAAAUCCAGGAGGGCAUCUGCAUCAUGGCUGCCUGACCACUGGCAGAGUCAUGUCUUGAAAUAUGUGCCAAUGUUCAAAGAUUAGGCUGGUCCCAUUUCCUUUUUUCCCCAAGGAAGGAAAAAAAUGAAGCUAGUUAACUUCCUGGGGGAGAACACUGAUUGGGCUUGAUAUGGCGGACACAGAGUUGGACCUUCACAAAUUUGUGAAUAGCGUUAAGAGGGAAAAUUAUUAAAUGAAGAGAAGUCCUAGAAGCCAGUAUCAAAAGAAACCAAAUUUAUGAAAUUAUUUUUAAUGGGGUCUUUCCUGGAGCUGGAAAAAGGACUUAUGAUAGCAAGUAAAUUUGGAUCAAUUCAAACGCCCUUUGAAUCCCCUGGGAUGAGCUUCUGUGACAGGCAAGAGGGAAAGCAGUGACGCCUGGAGGAGAAGCAAACGGUACACCAGGUGGACAUGUUUGGAGACUCAGUGACUCCCAGUUCAUGCAGAAGAAGAUUUCAAAAUUGGGUUAGAAUGCACUGCUGAGAUGGUGCCUGCCAUGGUCUGAAUGUUUGUGUACCCCCAGAAUUCAUAUGAUGAAACCUAAUUACCAAUGUGUUGGUAUUAGAAGGUGGGGCCUUUGGGAGGUGAUUAGGUAAUGAGGGCAGAACUCUCAUGAAUGGCAUUUAGUGCUUUUAUAAAAGAGGUCCCAGAAAGCUGCCUUACUCCUUCCACCAUGCAAGGACACAGCAAGAGGUUGCCAUCUAUGAACCAGGAAGUAGGCCCUCGCCAGACAUCAAGUCAGCUGGUGCCUUGACUUGGACUUCUCAGCCUCCACAACUUGGAGAGACAAGCUUCAGUUUGUGGGCUGCCCAGAUCAUGGUAUUCUUCUGUAGCAUCCCAAACAGACUAAGACAGUGCCAUAAUGGCACAUCCCUGAGACAAGGAAGAGAACAAAAAUCACAAAGUCAGUGUUUCUUCCAUUAGAGGUCAUUGGAGCCUUGAAGUGACUGACUGCUAAAAAGCAGGUGGAGAUUUAACACGGCAUCACAGUCCAGGCAAAACCACCCCCAGCUGGACCCAUACCAAAAGUAAUCAUUACAAAAAAUAGUGAAAAAGGGCCAGUAGAUUUGAAGACUGGCUAAUGCAGGCCUAUUUGGAACUUGUGACAACAGACGCUAUAAACAGUGACAUGCUACUGUGGUUACUCAAACUGCUUUAAAGUCUCCAGGCCUCUUUAGAUUUUCACUGUCACAGUUAAUCAGGAGAAGCAAAUGAACAGAAGAAAAAUCACAAGAUACAGAAACCCUGCUUCAGGCUUUAGUGGUAGAAGUCAAAGCAAAUAUGGCCCAGCAAUUUGAGAUCAUGUUGAGGUCAUUAAUGCUUUCAGGGGGUAGACAAGGCAAGGUCUUAUCUCUGUUAGCAGAGAACCACCCCCAACACACACACAAACACACAUACACACACACACACACACACACACACACACACACAUAUUAUUCUGCAGGGAACAGGAUGGGAAUAAUUUAUCAGUUCCAAUGGCUGGGAUAAACCAUCCUCUGACUGAAAAAAAAUUAGAGGGAAUAUCGGAAAACUAUAUUUCUUUUUUACAUUAUGAAAGAAAACACCUAAAGUGUCUUAAACAUAAAAGAGUAGUAUGUUGGAUAAGUAUAAGUGAAGACUCACAUAACCACCACAUGGGACAAGAAAUAGAACAUUGCAAAUCUCCUGUAUGUUCCUUUUCAUACACCCUAAAAAUAAAUACUACCCAGAAUUUUUUUGGUAAUUGCUUUUUUUUCUUUAAAUUAUUACUAAUUAAAUAUGCAUCCUUAAAAUUAUAGUUUACUUUUUCAUGUUGUUAAAUUUAUAUAGAGGAAAUUUAUUGUGCAUAGUCUUCUAUAGCUUGCUUUUUUUCCAUUCAGCAUUAUGUUCAUAAGAUUCAUUCAUGUUUUUGUGUGUUAUUCUAGUUGAUUCAUUCUCAUUGCUGUAUAUUAUUCCAUUGUAUGGCCAUAGCACAAUGUGUCUAUAUAUACUACUGCUGAUGGACAUUUGUGUAGUUACUGGGACAACUAUGAACAAUGUUGCUGUCAACAUUUUUGUCUGUGCAUCUAUUCAUCUUCUCCACUUUCUC